CCGCCCCGCAGCGAGGUGUGCGGCGGGCCCGGGCAGUGCGGGCCCCUCAGGGCCCCUCUCGGUCGCUCCCGGGGGUAGGAACAGCUGGCACGGGGAGACCCCAGCAGACCCCCUGCCAGUGCACGGGGCCCUUCCCACGAGGGCGGCUUGGCACAAAAGCACAAAAAAGGGGUGGGGGAGACCCCGGCACCCGGCUGACCCCGCGGGGUCGGGAGAUGCCCAGCAGGCGGGACGGAGCUCGGAGAUACCCCAGACAGGGACAUCUGGGGUAGCUGGAUGCGUUCCCGCCGUGUGCGCUUCAGCGAGGCCGCCUGAAACCUGGCUUCCUUGGUGACAUUCUCUCAUGCAAUGAGUGCAAACCUUAUUUUAAGCUGAAGAUUCCCGGCCAGGCUGCGAGGGGUGUAUGUCGCACUGACACAUCGGGCACCCACCUGGUACCCACCUCAGCUCCAUGCUCCAUGCGGGGUGGGAGGCUGGGAGGGGGACUCGGUGGUGGGCUGCCAGUAGCUGCUCUGAGUUGGACAAAUCUACAUUUACCAGCGUAGCAGUUAUGCAAGCAGCACAGUUAUAUAAUCCAAAUACAAAAAUACGGGGAAAAGCAGCGUACACGUGUUAACUGUGCCUUAAGACGUCUGAAGUAAAUAGAAGGCAGUGCAGAAAGGUGGAGAGUGCCAUUGCAGGCCCUAGGGAAGAGGACCAAAGGGACUGUGACCUUCAGCCUCCCUUGACAAGGUUAGGCUAUCUCUGCAAAUAACCGUUGAGAAGACUCUUAAAACACUGAUAAAGGAGCUGCCUAGUGGGGCAAGUAAUGGAAGAUAAUGUUAAUCAGUGUUGGCUGAAGUCUCAAAGAAAAAGAUGUGCCAAAAAUACCAAAAGUGGCUGAUAAAUUUGCACACCUGGAUUCCAGCCAUGUAAGCUAAUUUGCUCUGACAAGAAGCUGCAGGAGAACUUUUGGAACUAAGCCUUCAUUUGAUGCUGGCACAAAUGUCUGGAAAAUACACUGCAAAUUACUGACCUUUCUCAGCCAGACAGUACAAGUCAGAUGUUGCCCCUGUGACUGGUUUGCGUAAUGGGCCUCACUGCUUGAAAAGUUCCAGGGGGAGAAAGAACUCGGGUUCCCUGAUAAGGGAAAGUGGCUGCUGGAUGGUAGGACUAGAGCAGGACACACAGCUGAGAGAUGGAAGGGCACCAGCGCCGAGAGAUGGAGCAACACAGAGACUGCUCCAGCCAGGAGACAGAGACCAGACAGCAGUAGCAACAAGUCCAGGCUGCUGGGAACCUCGGAGCCACACUGCCCUCUACCAACCACUAUCUCUGGCUCUUUUUUGUUAUUCUGGGGGUCCCUGCUACAGCACCUCAGUCCAGUGGCUCCCAGCAGCCCAGGCUGGCUGUGCUCCGGCUGUGCCUGCUGCCUGCCUCUUGUCUCUGUCCCGCUCUCCUCCUGUGCUGCAGACCCACAGCUUCCUAGCAACACACCAGCACACGGGGGAGUCUGCAUCUCCCUAUUUUGAGAAUCCUUGCCUAGUGAUUUUCUGUCUCAGAGGUGGGAGGAGAUGAAAGGUGGAAUAAGGGAAAAGAAGCUGGAAGACUGCUGCCUAAGCAGUGGAAACAACACACACAGCCUGUACCCCCAGCAGCUCCACUUCUGUCCUACUCCUGGUCUGCCCACCUUGUGCCCUCAAACAUGCUUCCUUUGCUACAGAGUAGGGAACUUCCACAGCACUUUAAAUCCUUCCUCUCUCCUUCCCUCACACCUACCUCUGCCAAAAGGAUUGCAGCAGUUCAGCUGUACUGUGGCCUGGGGUGAGAGCAAGGGAGAGAUCCCCUCUGAAAGUCAGGAAAAACAGCCAGAAACAAGAGUAACACACUACAGCGUGUGGUUUACUUAAUGUAGCUUACUGUUAAUUAUUUAUGGUAAUUCAUUAUUUUCCCUAAUAUAUUGCCUAAUUAUAUCUGUCACCGUAACAACAGUUCAUAAACAGCUCCCAGCCUGCAACCAAUGUUGAAAAAUGUCUGAUAUUUCCUUUUCAAUAUUAUUAUUAGCCUACUUUCCAGCAUUAAUUCUCCACACAUUUCUGCAUCUUGCCGCUUUCUUUCCUUCCCUCUUUCAUCCCUCCCCUUUGUCUCCCAUUAAGCCCAAGACCCUGACAUGUGUUGUCAUUCACUAACAGUACACAAGUACUACUGUACUAUUCCAGUGUGUUAUAAAUAGCUCAGAUUCAGGAGUACAGUUCAUUCUGAAAAAAUAUCUUUAGAGAUGACCUUUGAAACUCUAUCUUUCCUAUUUUUCACAGCACGCUCUUGCUCAUGAUGGUCUUAAUUUGGUGUGGUUUAUGAAUACAAAAGAGGGUAGAGGCUGAGCAGUAAGCAGAGGAUUUAAACAAUGAGGUGGAUAAUUAAAAAGGAUUAAUGAGGUGGAUUAAAUAAAGGGAUUGAGGCCAAAUGGAGCACAAUUUUUCUAAACAUCAGUGGCCCCAAAACUCGAGCAUCCAAGGGCACAUUCCUCUUCAGCUAGAUGUUUGCUUUUUAUCCGGAAGUGUCAGUCUGUUUAUUAAUGCAGUCCCAGGACAGCUGAGCAGCAUCUAGUGUCUCCUCAUGCAGCCCUAAGUACCCCUUCUAUCCAGUACGUGUUUCCCAGCUUGUUUGCUUCCAACUCAUUCCUGCACCUGUUUCCAAUACCAUGUUUAAAAAAUUAUAGCCAAAAGCAGGUCAUUGCUGACACUAAUCCUGUGCCUCUGCAAACUGGUGAAGUGGUUCUCAAGAAAACAAUGAGAAAGAUGGGGGAAGAGAAGCACUUGGAUUCUGAAGCAAUAAGAUCCUGCCUGAUCCAUCUCUAAAGAUCCUUGGCCAGCACCAUUCCUUCCUGUGUAAGGGCUCCUCUAUGGGCGAGUCUGGAGAUCAGCAAGUCCUAAAAAAGACUGAUGGAAUUGUCCCCAGAUCCUGCUGUCAAGAGCUGGGUUUUAUUUCUCCCUCCUUCCCUCCAUUCCACUUAAAACGUGUGCAAAGCCUUGGGCUGCCCACAGAAAGCUGUGCAGGUGGUUGCAGGAAUGGAGAGCCAUCCUCCAAAAGGUGAGACCCUAGAUGGUGAGGUACAGUGUCAGCUGUAGGUAUAGCAAAUGCUUGUUGCUGUAAUUGCUUAUUGCUGAAAGAAGCUCAAUAAACAUCUGAUACCUCUUGA